AUACGUAGGGGGCGAGCGUUGUCCGGAAUGAUUGGGCGUAAAGGGCGCGUAGGCGGCCUGUUAAGUCUGGAGUGAAAGUCCUGUUUUCAAGAUGGGAAUUGCUUUGGAUACUGAUGGGCUUGAGUGCGGAAGAGGUAAGUGGAAUUCCCAGUGUAGCGGUGAAAUGCGUAGAGAUUGGGAGGAACACCAGUGGCGAAGGCGACUUACUGGGCCGUAACUGACGCUGAGGCGCGAAAGCGUGGGGAGCGAACAGGAUUAGAUACCCUGGUAGUCCACGCUGUAAACGAUGAAUGCUAGGUGUAGGGGGUAUCGACCCCUCCUGUGCCGGAGUAAACGCAAUAAGCAUUCCGCCUGGGGAGUACGGCCGCAAGGUUGAAACUCAAAUGAAUUGACGGGG
rnacentral:rRNA from 1 species